AGCUGAAUCGCGCUAUCGUUGUGUUACCCACGAAAUUAUAUCCCAUAUUUUGAUAGUACAUGAAAAUUGGUGUUUAGACCAGGGGGGUGCAACUCCCAUACAAAGGAAAAGAACAUUCAACUAGCGUCAUCUUUAGGAACCGGCGAGGUCAUUUUUGAAACGUUUUGGCCUUAAUGAACUAAUAAAUUCACUAGAUGGCAGAUACGAGUUCUGACUCAAUAAAAAAGGUUAGCGUACUUUGAAGCAGUGCUUCCACUUUUAGGGAAUUCUCUCUUUUUUAGGGAAAAAUAGCUGAUAUUUUGGAUGAUAAAGACAAUUUAAAAAAUUCCAGGAUUUAGGAUAUUUCUGGGUAAAAAGCAAAGCCUAUACUAGUAACUGUUGUGAAUUUUAAAAUAAACGAUAAUUAAAGUAAAACCAUGAACAUUUUAUUUUAUGGAGAGAAUGACAUUAAGUCGAGUUGACAAGUAAAAGAAUAAAACAGAGUUGUGUAUAAAAACUAUAAAGAAGGUUUGAUUCAACAGUAACCCUCUAGUAAAGUAAAUCAUAGAUUAAGCCACUGCUUUUUUCUUAGGGAUUCCCCAGAAUCCCAAUAAGUAUAAUCCGCCAAAUUUUUAUUUACCUGUUUUCGUUGAUGUCACCAGAACUUACUCGUAUUGUAAUAUACAGGUACUUCAUGUACCAUGAAAGAUUAUCAUGGUAAUUUCAUUUACGAAAACCUUGUAAUUGUCAUUUCACUUUUGCUAGCAGUUCCUUCUUCAAAGACUGAGGUGGAAAGAUUAUUCAGUGUUCUCAAAUGUAAAAACUGACAAAAGAAACAGGCUUUCUAAUGAAACCCUGAACGGCUUGCUUCAUAGAAAGUUCCCAACUUUGCCAGCAAACAAUUGCUCAAUUUUAGAACCGAACAGUGUUAGGUUGCGUGCAGCAAAAGAAUAUAAAAGCAAUGCGUCGACUUCCUUGAAAAUUCUAAUCCUAUAGAUCUAUGAUCUUCUGGGGGCGUUUAUAUUAUAUAUACCUACAUUAAAUAAUAUGCUGUGGUUUAUUUUCUGUAUUUUAUUUAUGCUUUCUAUAUAAAGGAUUUAUGAAAGUUGUUUAGGAAAUUUUAGGGAUAAAUUCAAAAGAAACUAGGGUAAAAUGUGGUAAAAAAAACGUAACUGGAAACACUGCUUUGAAGUUUUCAAAAUUCCAGGGCCGUAAAACAACCUCAAAAAAAAAAAAGAGUUUUCAAAAUGUCGUAACGCUUUAAUUUUUUAAAUCGUUUUUUUUUUGGUCUUGGUGUGAGUUAUUUUAUGUUGUAGUAUUAAUUUAGAGCAACUUUUAGCUUUAUGAGAAUAUUAGACGAUUAGACAUUGAGAAACUCUGUUUUGAAUUCUCUUUAGACAUAACUUGGCUCCAAUACUUUUUUCUUCGUUAGCGUUUCGUAAGCCUGUGUAACUAUUUUCAUUUCUUACAGAAAGUUUAUUAUUAAAAAUCAGCAUGCCUCGAAGAUCGAAAAUGAAAUGCUAUUUCGGAUGCCUUGAUAACGUCAAAGGUUUGAUAAUGACAAAAUUUUAUGGAAAAAUUAUAAGGAGCACUAAAAUGUCUGAAACAUGAAAAGAUUGAUGCACUAUAUUUGAACCAGAACGUGUUAUGUAAUAUAUUAAUUUAAGAGAAACUGAUUCAGCAAGGAACGUGAACUCUCAAGGAUCUUAAUUUUUUUUAAAUAUGUUUAUAAUUUAUAAAUUAAUAAUUGAAAUAGUUCAUAAGAACUAAAUUGAUGCCAAUUUUGUUUUAAAAUAGGUUGUUUAGUUCUUAUAGUAUUACGUUUGAAUAGUUAUAAUUAGUAAGUUAGUAAUAUAUGAAAAUACUGAUAUAAAUUUUUGUAAAUAACCUUUUGUAAAUUCUACGAGAAGAUGAUUUUAAUUAAUGAUCAAAAGUCAACGGUCUUCAAAAGCAUUAUUUGCAAUUAUUUAGAUUAACUGUGGAAUAUAUUUUUACUAAGUUGUGUUUUCUGUAUGAGCAGAUAUAAAUGAAAAUGCCCAAACAUGAUUAUGUUUCUUACAUUUUCAUUAUGUGAAAUCAAUAUGCUUGUGACUGAGUAUAUUAAUAAUUUAUUAAAACUUAAGUGAUAGACAGCAACCCCUAUGGCACUGCUGAAGUUUAUAAGCACUGGUGACCACUUAUCAUGAGCCGGGUUGCGUGCUCGUCUGCUGUUGAGUCCAAUAAAAAUUUUCGAAACCCUUUCUAUUAUUUAGAUGUAAUAUUAAUGUACAUUUAAUUUGGAUUAAAAGAUAAAUUUACAUUUUAUGUUUGCAUGUGUAUGUUUAUAAUUCAUUUGCAUGUAACGAACAUCAGUUUCUUUUGUAACAAAAUGCAAACUAAUGGUUUGUAAUGAAUGUAAUUAACUUUAAGAUGAUUUUCUUUCAAUCUGCUGUUCGUUUCAUCUAGUAUUACCAAAUAUAAGAAUGCUAAGAAUAAUUUAGUAUUCACUUUAGUGUGUGUAUUAUCUCUACAAUGCUAGUAUAAAUAACAAUUAUUGUAUGACGAAGCAUAGGUAGUGUUUAUAGAUGUAAUAUUUUCAUACAAGAUGAUCAUGAUCUGUCACGAUCAACUUUAAGCAAGAACUGCUAUCGUUAAGAAACAAAUUUAUUUAAUUUAAUUCAAAUUGUCUACUAUGUUUGUAAUGGAAAGCUGACAUGUUUAUAUUUCGCACAAAUGACUUAAUUGACAUAGAAUGAUUUGAUUAUCUAGACUUAAUUAACUUUUAGAUAACUUUCGAUUUAAUGUUAAUAAGUACGCUAGUAGGAUUAAUCUAGAGGAAUUAUUGUUAUUCGAAAUUUUAUACAAUUGUACGUUCAUACAAUCUUUUAACAGAAAAUUGUUUGUAAUAUAGGGAAAUUAAAUAGCUUACAGAGAA